CCCACUUCUCUUUCUCUGCCCUUAUUUCCUUCCUCUCUAUUCCCCUUGUUUUUUCUCUCCAUUACCUUUCUCUCCCUUCCUGCCUCCUUCCUUUGUCUUCCUUUUUAAAAUAAUUUUUUCCUUCUGUUACCUUUCCAUACCCUCUGACAAGAAUAUUCUUACUGACAAGUAACAGUGCUAGAAUGGGGGAGAGAAGGAAAGAAAAAGGAUGGAGAGAAUGGUAGAAAGGAUGAGCACUAGAACAGGACUUCAAUCUCCCCACCUUUCCUAUACAGACCUGCUGGGGGUAGUGGUGGGUCACAGAUAUUGGGGAUGAGGAGGUGAGGCACAGUGAUUUCCUUCCUUUCUCUUUCUAUUAGAAGGUUGAAGGUGAGGAAAGAAGGAAAAAUUUCUGGCUGAUCCUGCCUCUGAAAUCACCAAAUAUAGUGAAGUAUGAGAUCAGAUACAGUUUCCCUGUGUGCACCUACCUCCACUCAGCAUUACUGGCAAAUGAUCAUCCAAUGUUUUUGCCUCCUUCUUGAUUCCUUUCCAAGUCAACCUCAAGAGCUGUGUAUGACUCAUCCCCUUCUUUGACUGUUUGAGAGGUCAGAUUCUAAUGACUUCCUGAUGUAGGGGCGCUAACCAUCUAAGAGUUAUUUGUAAGGUCUAAUUAACUAUACAUGUCAUGACAUAGAUCAAAGUAGAUGAAACGGAACAUAUUAGGAUAAGUGGUGCUCCUAUAAGGCAGCUAUUUGAGAAGAAGAUUAGAUAGAAUAGAUAUUUCAAUUGUUAUUUUCUCAGAACUCUCUUCUUCAGAAUAUAAAGGACAAAUAACAGAGGG
rnacentral:lncRNA from 1 species